rnacentral:lncRNA from 1 species
AUGUGUUUUCAGGUUAAAGGAAAUUCUUAUUUUUUAUUUUGGAAAAAUACGUCCUUAUUAGGAAUCCAAGGUAGCUUCUUGAAUAAAGUUGUGUUUCAAAACACUUUGCCAUGUUUAAAACUGUGCUCAACUUUCUUGGUGUUUACCCAGGAAGUUCAUGCCACUUCGCAGGUCACAGAAAGUGACCUGAGCUCUUUACCGUUGGCAUCCAAAGGGUUCUGUCCAGUGCUCAGAAGAAUGCCAUUUCGUUGCUAUUUCAGCCCAACAGACCUACAGCAGCUCGUUUACAGGAUCCCCUCCUGGGACUUUAGAAAGAAUCAUGACAGAGAUCCCAUGAGAGAGAAUGCUUGGUGACGGAGCAUACAGGGAACACAUCUGGUGCAGAGAAGUUCAGGAAAACAGACCGAAGCUGUGUCCAACGAAGUAAUUCACACAGAAAUGUGAAUAUUAUUCAACUGACUUUAUAACUCACUUGUACAUUCAACUAAUAUUUAUUGAGCUGUAAGUCACCGGGAAUAAAACAGUGAACAAGAUGCA